AUUGAACGCUGGCGGCAGGCCUAACACAUGCAAGUCGAACGAGUGGCGGACGGGUGAGUAAUGUCUGGGAAACUGCCCGAUGGAGGGGGAUAACUACUGGAAACGGUAGCUAAUACCGCAUACCAUCGGAUGUGCCCAGAUGGGAUUAGCUUGUAGGUGAGGUAACGGCUCACCUAGGCGACGAUCCCUAGCUGGUCUGAGAGGAUGACCAGACACAUGGUGACGGAGACACGGUCCAGACUCCUACGUGAGGGAGCAGUGGUGAAUAUUGCACAAUGGGCGCAAGGCUGAUGCAUCAAUGCCGCGUGUAUGAAGAAGGCCGUAGGGUUGUAAAUUACUUUCAGCGGGGAGGCGUUACCCGCAGAAGAAGCACCGGCUAACUCCGUGCCAGCAGCCGCGGUAAUUC
rnacentral:rRNA from 1 species